CUCAUUCUGGGUGCUGGAGUCAGUGGAGUUUCCUUUGGUUCCUUCUUUCAACUAUAUGUGGACGCACGAUACAUUUAGUGUCGUUAAUCUACGUGGUGGAUGUGAGCGUAAUCUUGCUUAGAAUAUGCAAGGAUUGCCUGAACUGUAGCAGGAUAUCCUGUGCAGUGUUCAGAGUUCUAAUAAUGGCUGAUAAAGAAGAUCAACAAGCACCAAAACAAAACGUAGGUGGAGGUCCUGACUGUCUUCAACUGGGAAACGAGAGCCCCCCGCCAGAGGAUGUGACCGGUGAAAAGACGUGCGACUCCCAAGACGGGCCAAAGCAAUGGGACUACUUCCCAUGGGAUAGAUGGUCACGUGAGAGGAGCACAGACUCUAGGGAAAGGAGUGUGGACUCGCGUGACUCGGCAACAAGGGAGAGGGAUCUACGAUAUGCAGAGGAACGGAAACGGGACCGUGAACGUGGCCGCCGGGAGGAGGUCAUCCUUUACCGUCACAGAGACUCUGAAACCACCCAGAGUGACAGUACCGAAGAGGAGGAUGCAGAAAGCUCAAAUGGAAGCAAAGCGAAGGCUUCCACAUAGACUACUGUGAAUGAAAGUGCAGAAAACAAAAGAACAUUUUCAAGAGAAGCCGUUCCUGUACCACUAGGCCACAAUGAGCGGACUGAGCACGCCCUGGCAAAGCACACCCAUCAGAAGGCAGCCAAAACUUCCAAGAGUCCACCAACCAGUAAGGAAGCCUCAAAGCGCAUGGAGCUUGCCAAAGAGGCCACUGAAGGUUCUACAUUUGUGGCUAACAAGAGAAAUGGAAAUGCUGACCAGAAAGGAUCUGGUGACAGUCACAGCAAAACAUCAAGGAAUUGCAAC